GAUGAACGCUGGCGGCGUGCCUAAUACAUGCAAGUCGAGCGAACGGACGAGAAGCUUGCUUCUCUGAUGUUAGCGGCGGACGGGUGAGUAACACGUGGAUAACCUACCUAUAAGACUGGGAUAACUUCGGGAAACCGGAGCUAAUACCGGAUAAUAUUUUGAACCGCAUGGUUCAAAAGUGAAAGACGGUCUUGCUGUCACUUAUAGAUGGAUCCGCGCUGCAUUAGCUAGUUGGUAAGGUAACGGCUUACCAAGGCAACGAUGCAUAGCCGACCUGAGAGGGUGAACGGCCACAAUGGAACUGAGACAAGGUCCAGACUCCUACGGGAGGCAGCAGUAGGGAAACUUCCGGAAUGGGCGAAAGCCUGAAGGAGCAAAGCCGCGUGAGUGAUGAAGGUCUUCGGAUCGUAAAACUCUGUUAUUAGGGAAGAACAUAUGUGUAAGUAACUGUGCACAUCUUGACGGUACCUAAUCAGAAAGCCACGGCUAACUACGUG
rnacentral:rRNA from 1 species